AUUGGUCUGACGAGUCCUGAAUAGAACGAAACGCGCGUCAAACUGGAU
rnacentral:hammerhead_ribozyme from 1 species